CCUACGGGUGGCAGCAGUGAGGAAUAUUGGUCAAUGGGCGUAAGCCUGAAGCAGCCAAGUCGCGUGAGGGAUGAAGGUUCUAUGGAUCGUAAACCUCUUUUAUAAGGGAAUAAAGUGCGGGACGUGUCCCGUUUUGUAUGUACCUUAUGAAUAAGGAUCGGCUAACUCCGUGCCAGCAGCCGCGGUAAUACGGGGGAGGCGAGCGUUAUCCGGAUUUAUUGGGUUUAAAGGGUGCGUAGGCGGGCUGUUAAGUCAGCGGUAAAAGCCCGGGGCGCAACCCCGGCGAGCCGUUGAAACUGGCUGUCUGGAGAGGUCGAGAGGUAUGUGGAAUGCGCAGUGUAGCGGUGAAAUGCUUAGAUAUUGCGCAGAACUCCGAUGGCGAAGGCAGCAUACCGGCGGCGAUCUGACGCUGAGGCACGAAAGCGUGGGUAGCGAACAGGAUUAGAUACCCGAGUAGUC
rnacentral:rRNA from 1 species